GGCUGCAUACGAUAAAGUUUUAAAAGCCAGGAAAGCAGCUCAAGUCAGGCAUAGAGAAUUGGACAGCAAAAGAAAGAAGUUAAAGGAAGAUUUAGAAGCAAGGGAAAAGUCUUCUCAAGAAUUUAGGGAUAUAGACGCAGCACAGAAACUUCAAAAAGAGAUUGAAAGACUGCGAAGAGAAGGUUCAAGACAAUUGGAAAAAGAACAAGAACUUCUUCGACAACAAAUAGAAAAAGAAAAAGAUGGUCUAAAUAAAUCAGAAAGUGAUGGUGCACCAAGACUUAAGGU
rnacentral:lncRNA from 1 species